CAGUGCGCAGGCGCAAGAGCUUUCCCCUGGUUAUAUAAGAGAGGUCUGGAGGGCUCUUCGUCCUUUUGCGUUUUCGGCGCUUUUCUUCACUUCUGUACCUGAUUUGUGCUUCGUCCGAUGCUGUGCGGGCCCGGGAAUCCGGGUUUGCUGUUGUGAGUGGUCAGUGCGAUCAGAGAGUACAGAAUGGAUCUCCGAAGAGGGGGUCGCUGCUGGGCCUCCAGGAGAACCCCCUGUAGACUUGUCCAGCCUUCCGUCUCCUGAUCUCUGGCAGUUACUGUUGGCGGAAAGCGAACUUGGAGUGAACCAGGAAUGAGAUGUUGGAAUCAGGUCACUUAUCUUGGUUUUACCUGCUAACUUCCUGCAGGUUGGGAGCCCUGUGAGCCACAGGGCAGUAAAUAGAUGCAGCCUGAUGUGCUUGGUUCAGUCUGUCCUGCAACAGUCUCUUUCAGCCACCAAACUGUUCAGCCCCGCCAUCACUUGAGGAUCGCUCCUACCUCAGAAUCUUUGCAUAUGCUGUUUCCUCUGCCUGGAGUGACCAAUCAGACUCUUCAGAUCUUUGCAUGUUUCCCUCCCUUUUCUCAAUCAGGUGUGUUUAUUCAAAUGUCAUCUUCUCUGGGAACCUAUCUAAAAUAAUCUUACCUUUCUGUUCCCUUACCUUGUUUUUUUUUUCAUAUUACUUACCACUGCCUAAGCGAUACAUAGACACAUACACACACACACGCAUUGUGUAUAUAUAUAUAUAUAUAUAUAGUAUAUUUAUUGUUGGUGCCCCCUCAUUCCCCACCCCCAUUAAACCAGGACUUCACGUACAUAGCAACUUUCCCUUCUUUGUCUAUGGCCCCUCCAACAGCAAGUGGCACAGUGCCUGGCAUGUGGUGGGCCACUCCGUAUUUGCUAAAUGAAAGAAUGAAUCACACACUUGACUAGUGGCUCGACUGUGCUAAGGCACUUGACAUGCACACUUCGUUACUCAUCACAACAGCCCAGUGAGGAGAGAACGUGAUUCUUAUCCCAAUUGCACAGAUGAGGGAGUGAGGCUCAGGGAGGUAUGGUUCCCCAGCUCUAUGUGAGACAACUGAGUCACAAACCCUGACCUGUUUGACUCCAAAGCCCCUCCUUUUCCCUUCCCAAUGUAUUGCCUUCUGCUAGAACAAGGAGUAUUUUCUAUUCUCUGCAUCCUCUGCAGUUUCCAGAGCUGUUCCUUGAAUACAGUAGGUGCUCAAUAAGGCAAAAAUGACCAAAUGAUUCCUUGAACUAUCACAGACUGGCCGCAUGAAGACACAAUCCAUUCCAUAAAUAUUUAUUGAGUACCACCGGGUGCCAGACUCAGUUCUAGGUGCUGAGAAUACAAUAGUGGGGAAAAAAUUACUGCUAAUGUGGAAGAUUGACCUGCCAGUGGGGGAAGGAACAAUAAUAGUAUGUUAUUUAAUCGUUAAUACAAUGGAGAAAACUCAGUGUAGUGGGGGAAAGGAAUAGAAUUGGAAAUGUAAAGGUGAGCAGUUGAGUACAGAGCUGAAAUAGAUCAAGGAGUGAGUGGUGUAUCAGAGGGAUAGUAUAUUCCCAGGCCCGUGCAAAGGCCUUGAGGCAAAAACAUGCCUGCUGGAUGCUGUGUUUAGAGUAGAAAGGAGGCCAGUGUGGCUUUGAGUGGAAAAUUGGAAGGUCUGGCCAUAGUGGACUCAUUUUCCUGCCUGGUAAUAAUGACUGUGGCUGAGUAACAUCCAUCCCUUUUGGCAGGUCAUGUGCUUUCCAGGUCCCACAGUGGUCUACUUCCCUCUUUUACAUACCUGCCCCUGCAUUAAUAAUCAGAGUAACGAUGGCUAGCAUUUAUCGAGCCCUUACUAUGUGUUAAUGGCAGUUUUUUAUAUGUAACGAAACAUUCUUCCAACAACCCUGUGAGGUAGGUUGUAUUAUUCAUCUCAUUUGACAACUGAAGCUACAGUCUCAGAGAGGUAAAACAACUUGCCUAAGGUCAGCUAAGGUCAGCAGAGCUGGGAAGCGUGGCAGAGCCAGGACUUGAACCCUGUCAGCCUGGCUCUUGAGUUUGUAACCUUUGGCUUAAUUGCAGCCCAUCACUUAUAGGCCAUCUAAGACAUAGGAAGGACUCAAUUUCUGGCUCUUAAAAGUUUAAACGAAAAGUUCACAUGCUUUUUUUUUUUUUUUAAAGAUUUUAUUUAUUUAUUUGAGAGAGAAAGAGCAUGAGAGGGGGGAGGG